rnacentral:miRNA from 1 species
AAUAAGAGAUUACCGCAAUU